AACAACCGUGCCUGCCGUGAUUUGUCUAAAAUUGUGGCCGUAACGGGAGUGGGUAAAGAAGGUAUUUCCAUAGGGAGCCUGAGCAAACGGUGCGCCAUGUCGUGUUCAUUUAGCAUUGGUUGUGCAAUCAGUGCAUGUGGGAAAAGGGUUGGUCACGGCAUGGCAAGCUAUUUGGGAUGGCAAACCAUGGCACGGCGAGCUUGGUGCUUCGUUGUGCCUACGUGCCUAACGGGGCGUGCUUGGACGUUUUGGUUGCUAUUUGUUGUUAGCAAUGCCGGAAUGCAUUGUGAGGCAGUGAAUGGUGGCCACUUCGUUUGGGCAUCGUGUACGUACGGUGCGUGAGUGGUGGUUGGCUAGUAUGGGCACGUUGGAUCCCUGCUUGGGCAGCGACGUCGUGCCUUGCUAGUCUCUUCAGUGGGCGGCCCAAGUGCGUGCUAGCCUUGGACGUUCUUGGUUUCCUGUGUUGCAUACCUGUCGCGAGGGCAUUCAAUCAGUUAAAAACGUCCCGUUUCCGCCUUGUGCCGGGCCUUCUUGGGUUGCGGUGCGGGGUGGACCUCAAAGCACCCGUCGUGUUCCACUUCCCGUGCGUUAUCACACGUUGUCGGGAUGUUGGCCCAUGGCGUCGUGCUCGGCCUCUUGGAUGCGGAAAAUCAAGUGGGCACGAGGCCUCCGGCCCCUAUUUGUCCCGAAAUAAAGCGUUCUACGCUUCGUGCGAACGACGACCGUUGCCGUUUUGAUCGAGUCCUCGCGGCUUCGAUCACGCGGUGCCGGCGCCGAUGAGGAAUGCU
rnacentral:misc_RNA from 1 species